GAUGAACGCUGGCGGUAUGCUUAACACAUGCGAGUCGAACGGACUCUUCGGAGUUAGUGGCGGACGGGUGAGUAACGCGUGAGAAUCUGGCUUUGGGUUCGGGACAACCACUGGAAACGGUGGCUAAUACCGGAUGUGCCGAGAGGUAAAAGAGAAAUUGCCUGAAGAUGAGCUCGCGUCUGAUUAGCUAGUUGGUGAGGUAAAGGCUCACCAAGGCAGCGAUCAGUAGCUGGUCUGAGAGGAUGACCAGCCACACUGGGACUGAGACACGGCCCAGACUCCUACGGGAGGCAGCAGUGGGGAAUUUUCCGCAAUGGGCGGAAGCCUGACGGAGCAAUACCGCGUGAGGGAAGAAGGCUCUUGGGUUGUAAACCUCUUUUCUUAGGGAAGAACAAAAUGACGGUACCUAAGGAAUCAGCAUCGGCUAACUCCGUG
rnacentral:rRNA from 1 species